UGUUCCAGAGUGAGAACACGUUCACAGCCCAGGCUACGAUGGAGAACAUUUUUCCAGAGGCAAGGAAACAAGUUGCAGAUUCAGUGGAGUUUAGGAUGCUGUAGAUCACUCCAGAAGAACUCAGCGUGCAGCCUGAUGCCUCUUUAUGAGGAUCUGUAAAUGUGUCAGGCAGCUGCAGGGGAAGAAGCCAACUCCUCUGGUCUCUGUAAUUGGUUUUACAUGCGAGGAAGAAGGCCUGGAUUCAUUUGGAACAAAAGACUUUAUCCUCAUCCUACAAAGUCCGCCCCAUUGUUCGACAUUUUCAUCUCGCGUACUCCCACGCUGGAGCGGAGACGCAGCCAAGAACUGACUCAUUUGAAUAAACAGUAGGUAAGUACAGGCGUUCGUGACUCAGUCGCCGAUGAUGCCUCACACGAACGCUCGCUGGCGUCUCAGAGGGGAGGAGGAUUGUCGGAAGCUGUGGGAGGACAGGACGAGCAAGUGUGAGGAAAACAGCCCAAAUAGCAAGAGGUGGGAAGCACACAGUGACAUAUCAUUCACAGACAGACUCCCACACACACUCAUCACGGCCUUUUAAUGUCGUUUUAUUUACGUAACAAGCUUCUAGCCCCCAGCCAAGUAUCUGAGUAAAUCCUUAACAAAAAUAGACAACUUGCUUUUUUCAGUUACAUCUUUCGGAUGUGACGCAAAAACUAUUUCCCAUCAUUGUUCUGUAUAAGGAGCUGUGCAGUGCUCUGUAUGCAUAGACCGUACAAGUGGUUUGUCUAUUUUUGAAGAUUUGAAAAAUGCACAGAUAAAAGCUGUGGUGCAGAGGUGUGGAACUUCAUC